UAUCUUUGAACACAUCGUUCCUCCUUCACUUCUCACAGAGAGGAGAGGAGCAGCUAUGAGUCUAACUGCAGCAGCGAGUGGAUUAGUUGUCUUCCUGCUCUCUGUAUCAGUGGUUCAGGGUCAGUAUGGAGUGACUUACUCUUCUACUAAGAUCUGUGCAGUGAAAGGAUCAACAGUGGAG